AACGAACGCUGGCGGCAUGCCUAACACAUGCAAGUCGAACGAGACCUUCGGGUCUAGUGGCGCACGGGUGCGUAACGCGUGGGAACCUGCCUUUAGGUUCGGAAUAACUCAGAGAAAUUUGAGCUAAUACCGGAUGAUGUCUUCGGACCAAAGAUUUAUCGCCUUCAGAUGGGCCCGCGUUGGAUUAGCUAGUUGGUGGGGUAAAGGCCUACCAAGGCGACGAUCCAUAGCUGGUCUGAGAGGAUGAUCAGCCACACUGGGACUGAGACACGGCCCAGACUCCUACGGGAGGCAGCAGUGGGGAAUAUUGGACAAUGGGCGAAAGCCUGAUCCAGCAAUGCCGCGUGAGUGAUGAAGGCCUUAGGGUUGUAAAGCUCUUUUACCCGAGAUGAUAAUGACAGUAUCGGGAGAAUAAGCUCCGGCUAACUCCGUG
rnacentral:rRNA from 1 species